CUCAUUUAACAUGCUUAGGUAGUGUAGUUUAUUUAUGCUUCACCUCUUGCCAUGCUUAAUAACAUUUAAUAUUGUGGUGUACCUAAACGGGAGUAAAAUAAGUAAUCCAAAAGUGGAGUUCAUCAAUAUGCAACUCGUUGCAUAUAUAGCUUCACUUAAUGCGUAGAGUUUGAUUGUGGUGCUUGUCAUGCCUUCAAUAAUUAAACCGUACAUGCAACAUAUUUGAUUGUGCAUCAUGUCAUGCAUAUGUUGUGGUGUUUAUUGUGUGCUGAUUGUUGUUUCCGGAUUGUUUAUUCUCGAUAUAGUUCCAAACCACUUCGGAGUGUGAGGAUCCAUUCGACUACAUUGGUUCGUCUACUUCACACACUAGUAAGCAUGCAAGUGCAACACACGUAUCAUAAUCUAUAAUAAGACAUUAUUUAAUCUUAUUUAUCAGUUCUUUGUCAUGUCAUUUAAAUGUGUCUCAUGCACAUGAUGAGAGUGCGCGUGUAACACGAUUCGAAAACAUGUCUUCACAUAUAAUUCACAAUCACAUAAAUGUACUAUCAUUAGGUACAAAAAUAUUAAAAAACAACUGAGAAACAAUAUCUACUAUUUGUUCUUUGAUGAUUAUUCCGUUUGUUUCUACAUAUAAUUUUUUUUAGAGAUUUUAUUAACAAAUUACAUAUGAAUGUAAAAAUUUGGUAGUAGAAAAGGUCACAACGACGUAGAACUCAGCACACAGUCGGACACAUGCCCCGAUCAGGAAAAGAAACUGAACAACUCGGUUUGCUCCACUCGCUCACUCCACAUGUGGAUAAGCUCCACUCUCCCUCAUAGAACACGACUGCCCCUCUUCCACUGCAUCCCCACCGGCGGCGAGACGAACACCCACCCGUGGCCGGUCCAUGGCGGCCGCCCUUCCUUAGCCGCCGCGCCAGUCGCUGGCCUAUGCCCCCCCUCUUGCCGUUCGCCUACACCAGCCUCNCAUGAGCCUAUCCACCUUCUCUCGUGCGACACGAACUUCCAUCCCCGUGCUCGGGACGCCAUUAAGGUCCGGUUGCAGCUCUUCUUCUCCCCUCGAUCCGGAUGCUCUGCUCUCCAACCCGAUCUAUUCCAAGCGAAAGAUUUUUUUUCAUCCUCUCAUGCCCAUUGCCUCUAGCAAAUGUCAUCUCCCAGCUCAUGGCCUCGCCCCCAUGUUUUUUUCUUACUGCACUAAGCUGCAAAAGGACACAAAAGCUUUUCUAUCGGUUAAUUUAAUUGGUCACAAACUCACAAUACUCCAUACACAAUCAGUGAUAAUAAGAUUGCCCCUUUCGUGUUUUCUGCGGAAAGUAGCCUCCAUGCUUCUCAAAUCUGGGUGAUGUUUUGUUCAUAGACUUUCAUCCAAAGAGAAGCACAUCGAUGGAGAAAAAAGACGUAGUCAAAGGGAAUUUGUUUCAGGUACAUACUCUGUACUAAUUAAAACAUAGUAUGAGCAAGGUUGACACAAUGAUGUUCUAUCUCUAAAUGUUUUCUAAAAACUGACCUUAUAACUUUUAUGUGGUACUUUCAUCUAAAGAGAAGCACAUCCAUGUAGCUAAUUUGUUGAUCAUAAUUACCAAUGGACAUGUAGCUAAUUUGUUGCUCUAUGUCCUACUGCCAUAGAGCAGAUCGAGAUGCGAGCUGGUGGACACGAUGAGGGAGCAAGCAUCUUGAAUUGGACAGUCGAUCUGUUCUAGGGAGGAGUUCACAGCUUGCCUAUUUCCUCCAUUGCUGCAGGUAUGUUGAUUGAUUUUUUUAUGCGCCAACUAUUAUCAUAUAGGUUACAUUUUUGAGGCAACCACUAUGGGAUAAAACUGAUUGAUGUGUGGAUUUGAAUUAAGCACAUCUUGAUGGUCCAUCUUUUGAAGCAAUGAAAGUCCAUCUAUUGAUGCGAUCUAUGAUGCUUCCUUCAAUGUAUGGGAUAUUGUCUUGAGAUUCAUUUUCUUCAUACUUUAAAAUAUGCACCAAAAAUCGCUUCCUCAGUUCAAAACAAUCCUACAUAUGCAUUAGACAACAUUGUUAUACCAAGUUUGUAUGUGCAAUGUGUAUACAAAUAAGCAUGGUGUAAAUACUCACCUCGGGUAUAGGAAAAUAUAGCUUUCCAUCGCACAAUGAGUGCAUGUUGUUAAAAACUAAAUACCCCGACAAGGCACUGCAUGUAUGAAAUAAACACAUAAUGUGUGUUGAAUGAAUGAAUUAUUUAAUAUUGAAUGCAUUGAAAAGAUUCAUACCAGUGUGAGUUUGUUGGAACAACCGGAACUAUACAUUCCCAUUUAGAGAUAUCGUCCUUGAAUGCAGGAUUUGCAACUUGAAGUGCGAGGUUUAGGUUACUGACCACGGUUUUAAGUAUAUUCUUUCCCAAAGUAGGUACUGGUAUUGGAUCAAAAAUUGAGAUAAUUUUUUUAUCUUGAUCCAAGACAAACAAUAGAAACAGCCCAAAAAUGUCCCAAGGCAAUAAAAUUUGCAAUGAUGCAUGCAUUUAUAAAUACAUGAAAUAUUAAUUAAAACCAAAUAAACCACUGUUUUAAACGAAAAAUUAAAAUCUUACCAUAUCACACUGUGAGAUAUGAUACUCAUUGCUGUCAGGCCAGCUAUGAAAGAAUUGUUUAAACGUAGCACUGUCCAUAUUUUCAUGAUGACUUGGGUCUCGUACAUAUUGGAACAUGGACUAAUAUAAAAAUAAGAAAACAAUAGUGCUAUGAGAAAAAAUAUGUAAAACGCAAUUAUAAUAACUUACACAAAAGUUUAGAUCCAUGUAGUGAGAUGGAAUGUCUCUAAGAAGCUGGACUUCGUGCCGCGCUAGUAUCCGCACAACCAUGUUAAAGCAAUCAAUAUCCAUAUAUUCAUCAUUGUUUAAUAUGUUUUUUAUUUGUCUCAACUUUAAGCUGAUAGGGUAAGGAUCAGAGCUUUUCACCCAUUCGCUUCUGUAAAAUCAAAAUUUCGUCAAUUAUAAUGACAUGAGAGUAAUUUAUUAGAAUACAAAAUGAACUAAAAGAACAAGGCUUACUCUAGUAAAGCGUCAUCAUCAAUCAUACUGAUGAACAAGCACAGUUCGUCUAUUAAGUCAUCGUUUGUUGGGUUGACACACGGUGAAAGGAUAUAUGACUGUGAGAUGAGCUCAACAUCUAAUGAUGUGUUCGAUGUUUUGAGAUUAUGAGGGCGUCCAUCCAGAAUCAUACAAUCCAUGGGAUCUAUAUUGAUUUCGUCAUCUUCCAUGUCUCGAUUUCUUAUAUUAUCAUCAUUCAAUUCCGAGUCCACUAAAAUGACAGCUAGUUUUGUUCUAAAAUCUGUCAUAUGAUCCUAUUAAAGUAGAAAUAAGAGUUAGAUAAUGAUACAACAUAGAAUAAGUAUUACAUAAAAAUGAUCCUAUUAAAGUAGAAAUAAGAGUUAAAUAAUGAUACAACAUAGAAUAAGUAUAUAGCUGCAAAUGAUCCUAUUUUCAGAAUCUUUCGGAUGAGAUCUAACCUAAGAUUCGGAGACCUCUUAACCCUGUGAAACAAGUUUUCAUCUGUAUCAUAAAUAUAUAGCUGCAAAUGUCGAGGGCCAUUAUCAGAAGACAAUAGAUCGUCAAGAGCGUGGUACAACCGCCCACAUGCACGAAAUGUAUAUACACCGGUCCCUGCUGCGGUGCUGACUCGACGAUCAAGUGUGACUCCAAGACUUGUGAAAGAGAAAUGAGAGUUGAAAUACCGUAUAUUUUCUCUGAAAUAUUUAGCAUCCUCAUCAUCCCGACUUGUAAACAACCUUUUCAACUCUUCAGGAACAUCUGGAGUAAAUAUAUCCACUUUCCCCUUUUUGCAACAAAACGCAGGCCCCUCGUAUUGAAUCCUCAAAGCUCCACAGUGGCGGCAAUCACUAACUUUCCUAAGCACAUGGUGUUUUUUUGGGCAGGUUCAUGUAAACCCUGUCAUAAAUAUCAGUACUGGGAGUCGCAUGACCAUCCUGUUGAUCCACUCGGUAGGAUUCAAAAGCAACUUCUGGAUAAGAUUAGACACUUGCAUUAAUCAAACUGCAUGUAGAAAUCAUAGUAUCAUAUGUUAUAGUUUACUGCUAACUCAUGAUAGCAACAAUAUACCUCGUUCCGCGAAUAUCCUAGCUUCUUCAUCAUGGUUAACGGCUGUAGUUUCUAUCUGGUUCCUAUCUCCAUCGCAUUCUAGUACCGAAGAUAUGAAUAAAUCAUUAAGGGUUAGAAAUCAUGUUAAGUUCAUGUUCAACAACAAUGAGGAGAUGAAACACAAAAGGACAUAAUGCACACCAUCAAUGUUGACGGUGUGGACAUCGGGCUCCAGUAUUCCGUAUGCAUGUUCUUCAUGGUCGUUGCCUGAAAACAUUUUGUGUCCCAAUGAGUAAGUACCUUUGGUUGUAACCCUUUGUCAUGUACCCGUUUUAGAAAAAAAUGCACAACACCUUGAUUAUGAGUGGUUUGCCCUGCAGCUGGUGUAGGCUGCAUCACUGGACCAUUAUCAUCAGAAUGCGCUAUACCUGAAACUAUAGGAGAGGGCCAAAUUAAAGAACAAAGUCAAACCUGACCAGUUUUAGGAAAAAACACACAACACCUUGAUUAUGAGUGGUUUGCCCUGGAGCUGGUGUAGGCUGCAUCACUGGACCAUUAUCAUCAGAAUGCGCUAUACCUGAAACUAUAGGAGAGGGCCAAAUUAAAGAAGAAAGUCAAACCUGAGAAUUUAGCACCAUUAAUAAGUCACAGAAGUAACCUCUUGUUUUAAAAGAAUCUUCUUGGAUACGUAGGUUGAGUCGUGGGUUCUCUACGACUUCCAUUUGUGUGACUCUUACUUGUCCAGACUUUCGUUGAAUCUGGUAUGCAUCAUUUCUGUGCAACCAAUCGGAUUCGUCGCCAUCAUAAAUAUUCUCGUUUUCGUCUAGAAGCUCUCUGGAAUUAGGUACUGCACCACCCGCACAUGUUAUGUUAGCCAGUUGUGUGACUGCUGAUUGUCCGGUAGCAUUGACUUGUGUUACAAGGUUACUGCCAUCAAGGACGACAACAUUAUGCUUUUUCUGGUCACGGGCCUGUCGCUGUCGCUUUAAUAUUAUCUCUCUAUUAUGUGCAUACCGCUCACGUUCAAUGCGGUUCUUAAUAUCACUACGGUCUGAAUAGACAAAGAAUAUAUCGUUAAAUAACAAUACAUAUGGGCCUUAUAUCAUUUAGUUGAUGGUCAUUACCUUGUGAUAUAGUCAGCUGUGCGUCUGCCGCACUGUUCUCGGCAGCGGCAGUCUUCUUCUGUUUAUAGGCCUCACGCCGUCUCUUAUUAAUCUCAUCCCUAUUUUGUCCAUACCGCUCUCUAUCCCUUUGCCUUUUUACUUCUUUAGGGUCUGUAAUAAAUGAGACAAUUUAGCAGUCUAGCAAGAAAACAAAAAUAUACUGAUUAGGUACUGAUCAUCACCCAACGAUUGGGAGUUGCUUAUAUCCUGGAAGGGGGUGCGUGUCCCGUUGGGAGUGGUUGGUGUCAUACGAACUCCGCAAACUCUGUUUAUGUGAAAAAUGUCAUCAUACCAUUGUACAGGAAGGUAUAGAGUUCCAUGUUGAACUACAUCCUAUAAUACAAAGUUGUACUAAGCUUAAGACACUUAUUUUGGAAUGGAGGGAGUACAUGCAUGUAUAUAGUUAUAUAUAGUGUGACGGCCAGAUUGCUCAAGUGCGAAUAUAUAUUUUUACAAUUUAAUAUCAUCAUUAGUACACGAACUUGCACAUCAUUCACAAAUUCAUACACAAGCUUGAAAAAUUCAUAAAAGUGGGCACAGAACUCACUUACAGUUUAAUAUCAUCACUGGUACACGAACUUGCACAACAUUAACAAAUUAAUGCUUGAAAAAGUCAUAAAAGUGGCGACAGAACUCACUAUACUGUACCAAUUUGGUACAAAAUAAUGUAGCGGCUGCUAGUUCGGACGCCACGGCAGCGAGUGCACCAGCGCUCCUUAUUUCAAUAAAACCCCAUGAUUAAAUGACACAUAAUCCAGAAUUUCUAUGAAGUUAAACUGUUCAGUGGAUCAAGAUGUAGUUGUUAUGAUAAUUUUUUGCAGAAAGACAACCAGAUCAAUCAAAGCAAUAGAUUAUUAAUUAUUUAGAACAAUGCAUCAUGAUGUAGUUGUUAUGAUAAUAUCUUGCAGAAAGACAACCAGAUCAGUCAAAGCAAUAGAUGGAUCUGAACGCAGAGAGAAGGCAACACCUUAUACGGCGUAUAGCUUGUCGUUGCGGCCUUGGACGGGUGCCUCGGCGGCUGCAGCUGUAUUGGUGAAGACCUCGUCGUCGCGGCCGUUGGAGGAUGCGUCGACGUUUGCAGCUCUGUUGGUGGAGAGGUCGUCGUAGCGGCUGUUGGUUGAUGCGUCGACGGCUGCGUCUCGACGGCGACGACGACGCACGAACUGCUGGACGUGAAUUAUUUGUUGCUGUUUGUUUCCCUUACUUGCUGUUUGUUUCCGUAAUAAGUUGCUGGACGUGACGUGAAUUCUGCUUCUUUCUGUUUUAUGAUUUCCCUUAUUUCCUGUUUGUUUCCGUAAUAAGUUGCUAGACGUGACGUGAAUUCAGCUACUUUCUGUUAUAUAUGAUUUCCCUUAUUUGCUGUUUGUUACCAUAUAAUUUUCGAAGGAAG
rnacentral:lncRNA from 1 species